UUUUGUCCGUGAAGCGACUCCCUGGUGGACGCCGCUGCAAGCCUGCAAGUGACAGACUUCCGCUGUCUCGGAUGCACGGGAGCGCCGUGUUGAUUAUUUAUGUUGGAUGCACACUGCGGUCGCAUUCUGAAUCAUAGCGCAGUUAUUUAAGAAACUGAGUGAAACACGCGAGCUGCUCCAUCAGAGUUUCAAUUUACGUUCUCCCCUCGCUCAUCGGUGACCCGGACGCUGGGAGAUCUCGGCAGGGGAUUUGCCGAAGCCCGUGGUGGUGCUCUGCUGCUGAGCUUGUUUGCUCUCCGGCUACUCUCGGUUAGGAGAACGGACGCGAUUCCGUAUGCGUGCUCCGCUUGACAGCUGAUGUUGGACAAAAGGGCGACCGUGCCUUCCGUGACGCGCGGCCGCCGCAAAGGUGUGGCCAGUGUGAUGGAGGCUGUCGUGCAGGUCGGCGGCGGCGGAGUUGUGGGGUCCUCACACUAAGGCUUAUCGCCAUAUUGGUGUGCAGCUUUUCUGAGAUGCCACUUUAGCGCAUCGCGCGAUGGAAGAAACCAAGAUCAUCUAUCACAUCGACGACGAGGAGACUCCCUACCUCGUCAAGGUGCCCGUGCCGCCGGAGCGCGUGACGCUCGCGGACUUCAAGAAUGUCCUCAACAGGCCCAACUUCAAGUUCUUCUUCAAGUCGAUGGACGAUGAUUUCGGAGUGGUCAAAGAAGAAAUUGUAGAGGAUGACUGCCGGUUGCCUUGUUUCAAUGGCCGUGUGGUGUCGUGGCUUGUGUCAGCAGAUGGAAGCAGCGUGGUGUCUGAAGGAACUGAGACGCACCGGCAACGCCCCUUUCCUGAAACAGCAGAGACCAGCUUUACAGAGUCUGAGUCUGCCAUUAGUUCCCACAAAGAGCAUCACCACCAUCAUCAACGGGGACCUGGCCGUCAUCGAGAUAAAGCCGGUCGUUCCAAUGGACAUGCAGCAGCUAAGCCAGGGGCUGCCUCGGUGCUAACUACCAGUGACAUAGAGACCACAAGCUUCCUAGAUUCUGAGGAUGAGACUACCAGCCGGAUUUCAACCACCACUGAGGAGAGUAGCGUGUCACGCAUUUAUGCGAGGCAUCGGCGUAGGCGGCGAAAGAAGAUGCCACCCAUGAGUCGGACAUCUUCGAUCAGCAGCAUCACAGACAGCACUCUGUCACUAAACAUCAUCACCGUCACAUUAAACUUAGAUACGGUCAACUUUCUUGGCAUUAGCAUAGUGGGCCAAUCGAACAAAGGUGGAGAUGGUGGCAUCUACGUGGGCUCCAUCAUGAAAGGGGGUGCUGUUGCUUUGGAUGGUCGCAUUGAGCCAGGUGACAUGAUCCUUCAAGUGAAUGAUAUCAACUUCGAGAACAUGAGCAACGAUGAUGCUGUGCGAGUGCUCCGGGAGACUGUACAAAAGCCUGGUCCCAUUAAGUUGGUGGUAGCCAAGUGCUGGGACCCGAACCCCAAGGGCUACUUCACCAUCCCACGCACCGAGCCCGUGCGCCCCAUCGACCCAGGAGCUUGGGUGGCACACACGGAGGCAGCACGCGGCUCUUCAUCUGCUGUGGGCCACUCGCGGCUUUCGCUGGCCCCAGGACCUUCACUCCGCCAACCGCUACUCUAUGAUGGACCCUUGAGGCCUCCGUCUGUCUCCACCCUCACCUCCACUUCCUCAUCAGUCACUUCAUCCGUGCCCGAGUCGGAGAGGCAGCUACAGGAGCCACUACUGACUGUGGAGACGGACAUGGAGACAAUUGUAAAGGCUAUGGCAGCUCCCGAUUCAGGACUGGACGUCAGAGACCGCAUGUGGCUCAAGAUCACCAUACCAAAGGCCUUUAUAGGCGUGGACGUGGUAGACUGGCUUACAACACAUGUUCAAGGCUUCCAAGACCGCAAGGAAGCCAAGAAGUACGCUAACCAGCUACUCAAAGCGGGCCUCAUUCGGCACACUGUCAACAAACUUUCCUUCUCUGAGCAGUGCUACUAUGUGUUCAGCGACCUCUCCCUUGACAUGUGCUCGCUGCGGCUGCAAGAAGAGGACGAGGAAGGUGGGGCAGGGGGCAUGGUGCCCCCCUGGGGUUGCCUGGGUCCCCUGCUUCCAGCAGGGUACGUGUGCGGUAGCACGGCUGCACCAAGUGCUGCGGAGACACAGCUGGCCUCUUAUGUCAACUAUGCCCGUGAGGGGAGCACCCAUUCAGGAUCCGGGGGCAGUGGCGGACCACCCGCAGAGUCUAGCCGCAGCGUGGACGGUGCCGAGGGCUCUCAAGAACUGACCGGUAGUAGGCAGUCCUUCCGCAUGGCCAUGGGCAACCCCUGCGAGCUCUUUGUGGACGUCAUGUGACACAUGCAUGAGCAUGCCACUAUGCAGGGGCCCCACACCAUUGAAGCAAAGUGGACAAGCUCCGUGAGGUGGAAGAGGAUGGCUUGGAGUAUCAGUACUCAGACAAAGGCUUGGUCUAACGCCUUAGCCUUCAUGAUGGAGCCAGAGGCAGCACUAGAUCAUCACAGGACUUCAACAUAAACUUGACACUGCUUCCAGCCAACACGCGUUUUGAGCCCAAUGAACCUCCUGUGCUGCAGUGUGCUUUUCACACUUCGCAGUAAAACCCGAACAAUUUUUUUUAUAGAGCCCUGCAGGCUUGCAAGUGGUUGUGGCAAAUCAACACUGGACAAUGGUGUGACGCUGCAGCAGAUUGUAUGUGCGCCUGCGACAGUUGCACUGCAGGCAAUGCUGCAGCAGUGUGCUCUUUUCAGUGUGCUAUACCAAGGCCAACUAAGUGUGCAUGACGUGUGUGGUAGCUAUGCGAGGACAUUCCCACUGGCGCACUACUAUCCCAUCGUAAUGUGUUUGUUGACCAAUGUCUGAUGUGUGUUCAUUUGGAUGACUGCAGGCCAACAAUUUUAGCGUGCUUGUUUUUAUUGAGUGACCUCUACACUGUGCGUGUCACAAACCAUGAAUAAAAGGUUACUAUAUAGCA